rnacentral:lncRNA from 1 species
CUCAUCCUGUCUGGACAGCUUAGCAUCGGUAUUACUUUCACAACACUCAGACCAUGCGCAGAAUAGCUUAUGGGUCCACAUGUUUCACAUCAAGCGUGAGGACUGCCCAUUGUCAAGGGAGAGUUAUUUUGAAUGUGGGGGUCAGAGGAUGCUGAAGAGCAGUUUUGUCCAAAAAGAACAUCAUCUCCAGCGGAGAAAGGGCAGCUCUGAGCCUCGGGAGGUAAGCAAAGGCUCCAAGUUUUUACAAGCAGAAUCGGGAAGCUCUCGAAGGUUCGUCUCCAGCUUCAUAGGAGUUAAAAAC